rnacentral:rRNA from 1 species
GAUGAACGCUGGCGGCGUGCCUAAUACAUGCAAGUCGAGCGAAUGAAGAGGAGCUUGCUCCUCUGAUUUAGCGGCGGACGGGUGAGUAACACGUGGGUAAUCUGCCUGUAAGACGGGGAUAACUCCGGGAAACCGGGGCUAAUACCGGAUAAUAAGAAGAAACGCAUGUUUCUUUUUUUGAAAGUCGGCUUCUGGCUGACACUUACAGAUGAGCCCGCGGCGCAUUAGCUAGUUGGUGAGGUAACGGCUCACCAAGGCGACGAUGCGUAGCCGACCUGAGAGGGUGAUCGGCCACACUGGGACUGAGACACGGCCCAGACUCCUACGGGAGGCAGCAGUAGGGAAUCUUCGGCAAUGGGCGAAAGCCUGACCGAGCAACGCCGCGUGAGCGAUGAAGGCCUUCGGGUCGUAAAGCUCUGUUGUUAGAGAAGAACAAGUACGAGAGUAACUGCUCGUACCUUGACGGUACCUAACCAGAAAGCCACGGCUAACUACGUGCCAGCCGCCGCGGUAAAAC